rnacentral:pre_miRNA from 1 species
UACCGUAUCCCACUGAUGAUGAGGGGAGACCGAUGUUGGCCCCGUUGGGCUCUGUUGAUGAUAGGGGGCGUCGAAC